UUCGGGUGAGGGGAGGCCAUGUCUGCCGCCAUAACCCCCUGGUUUUGGGAUUAGAACCCAGGUUCUUCUGACUCCCAGGCCCGUGCUAUAUCCAUGAAACCACGCUGCUUCUCCUAGCCAGCAGGCUUGUUUGGCAAUAAGAGGGAGAAAAUGUCAACCGAAGGAGGCUGCUGAAAAAUAACAGGAUCAUCAUCCCCUACUGUUGCAGUGGAGCAUCUAUGUAUUCAUUCCUUCCCAAGGACACUCUGAUCCCAUGAUAAUGGUCUAUGAAAGGAAGUUUAUUUGGUUAAUACCAAAUGAGUCUUGAAGAUUUAUUCAUUUCAUCGGAUGGAUGUUGGAGCAAUGGAGCUGAGAAGCUCUCAGUGUGUAGGAUCCCUGACCUGCUGAUAUUCCAGCUGCCGGAGAGAGAAGAAGCCAUUUGUAUGCUUCACAAUGAAACUGAUUUAUCCACGCCAGUUCAAUUUGGACUUCCUUCAAUCCUGUGAAUAAGUUGUUUGCUGACUGGCUGGAUUUUUUUUUCUUAUGUAAUAAGUUACUGAGAAGUCAGAGGGCAAUUCAACAUCCCAGUUGCUAUGUUCAGAUUCUUUUUGCUCCAUUAAAGAAAUAGGCCUGUGGCCAAA